GGCGGCGAGGCGGCGCGUGCGCGGUGGCUGCAAAAGGGCAACUGCUGAGCGCUGGCGUUCUUGGUCCCCCCUCCGCUGGAACGACCGCGGGCCCUGGAUGGCCUGCAGAACCAGGAAGUCAAGAUUCGGAGUUCACGGUGAAUUGUCUUAUUCACCUGGGAAUGAGUCUGCGGGACUAAAACAAACCGCCUCGAGCUAGGCUCUAACCAGAGACCUCAAAACUAGGAACUGCAACAGAAAGCGAACCACUGGCCCGGACGCAUCCUCGCGCUGGAUUCCGCUCCCUGGUCACUUGGUGUGAUGUGUGUGCAGAGGGUCAAGUAGUUGUGAACAGAGGUUAGGGCAUUCAGAUUGUGCCAGCUGAGAAAGUGAGAAAUGCUGAAGAAAGCAGCCCUUCUGGAGUUCCCUGGCGGCCUAGCGGUUAAGGAUUUCGCAUUGUCAUUGCUGUGGCUCGGGUUGGAUGCCUGGCUGGGGAACUUUCCCAUGCUCAGCAGGGCCAAAAGAAAAGGAAAAUAGACUUUCUCCAGCGCCUCUUCCUUCUCCCCACUCCCAUCGCUGUAUCUCCCACCUUACCCUCUGCUGGUUCCUGCACCCUCAGCCGGUAAACAAGACCAAGUCUCUCGCAACAAGAAUCACCUGAGACCCGGCAAUUCCACUCCCAAGUAUUAUUCAAGGGAAUUGGAAACAUAUCUGCGCAAAGACUUGUACACAGAUGUCAUUGCGUAUCCAUAAUGGCCAAAGAGUGGAAACAACUGAAUGUCCAUCAUUUGACGAAUGGAUAGAGCAGUUACGGUUUAGCCAUACUCUGGCGUUUCAUUGGGCGGUGAAAAAGAAUGAAAUAGUGAUCCAUGCUCUAAUAUGGGCAAACCUGACAAGCGGACAUGAAACCCGGUCAAGGCAAUGAGAUUUGAGAAGACAUUUCCAGGGCUUCUGACAAAAAGAUUCCUCUCUGCUAUAUAGCUUCUAUCAAUGAUGUAAGGUCUAGAAUUAAUGCAGCCACAUGUGACAACAAGGAUAGAGACUAAAUUACCAGACAGUGAAGGAAUCCUGAGAAAGGCAGAAUGGGAAACUGGAAAAGGAACAGAACCUCAGUUACAUUGUUGAGCAGUGAGCAGCUAGAUCAAGACACACCUGAAGCUCUUCCUCCAUACUUGCCAGUUAUAUGAGCCUCUUGGAUAAAUAAUAAUUGAAUUGAAUAAAUUCCCUUCAUUGUUGGAGCUUAGUUUUCUGUCUAUAACUCAAAUUGUCCUAACAAUACCACUUAGCAAUCUCUGUGGGCCUCCAUUUUCUCAUAAAUGAAAUAAAGGUAAAAAUUCUGCCAGCUCUCAUAGCCUGUGUGUCUCAAAGGAUUAAUAUACUUAUAAAGAUGUAAGUGCAUUGUGAUUUACUAGUAAGCACUAAGGAAAACAAGACUUUAGUUUACCCCAGCCAAAGAUAGCUGAGACUAGCAAUGCACACAAAAAGCUUUCGUCUUCGGCCUAGACCCCCAGUUACCCUGAUCUCUCUCCUCUCCCUCUACGUCAGCCACUCGUUCCUACACCCUGAGAACAGUUAGUUGGGGAGGGGUGAUCUGGGAAGGAGGAACAUAGCGGGCCCCGCUUUAGAGGGCUGCACAUUCUCCUUGGUGAUGCCCCUGGCCUUGGACCCCUUGUUCAGAUUCUGGCCUCGUCUACCCAGUCUCUUUGACCUGAGCACCCCCUGUGCCUUCUCUCUCUCCCCAGCUCUGACCUCAAGAGUUGCAUGUUUCGCUUGCCAGCCUCUCCUCACGUCUGCAUUCCCAGCACUGGCCACCUUCAAUCAGCUGGAAGCAAUGAUGUAUUAGCCAGCAACUCCAGAGCACAGAUUCGUUUAUCUG
rnacentral:lncRNA from 1 species